rnacentral:rRNA from 1 species
GGUUUGAUUAUGGCUCAGAUUGAACGCUGGCGGGAUGCUUUACGCUUAAGUCGAACGGCGGCACGGACUUCGGUCUGGUGGCGAGUGGCGAACGGGUGAGUAAUGUAUCGGAACGUGCCUAGUAGCGGGGGAUAACUACGCGAAAGCGUGUCAGCCGCAUACGCCCUUCGGGGGAAAGCGGGGGACCUUCGGGCCUCGCACUAUUAGAGCGGCCGAUAUCGGAUUAGCUAGUUGGUGAGGUAACGGCUCACCAAGGCGACGAUCCGUAGCUGGUUUGAGAGGACGACCAGCCACACUGGGACUGAGACACGGCCCAGACUCCUACGGGAGGCAGCAGUGGGGAAUUUUGGACAAUGAAACCACAGUCAGCCAUCCGCGUGUGCGAUGAAGGCCUUCGGGUUGUAAAGCACUUUUGGCAGGGAAAGAAACGGCACGGGAUAAUACCCCGUGCAACUGACAGUACCUGCAGAAUAAGCACCGGCUAACUACGUGCCAGCAGCCGCGGUAAUACGUAGGGUGCAAGCGUUAAUCGGAAUUACUGGGCGUAAAGCGUGCGCAGGCGGUUCGGAAAGAAAGAUGUGAAAUCCCAGAGCUUGCUUUGGAACUGCAUUUUUAACUACCGAGCUAGAGUGUGUCAGAGGGAGGUGGAAUUCCGCGCGUGUAGCAGUAUUACGUAGAUAUGCGGAGGAACACCAGUGGCGAAGGCUCAACCUCCUGGGAUAACACUGACGCUCAUGCACGAAAAGCGUGGGAGCAAACAGGAUUAGAUACCCUGGUAGUCCACGCCUAAACGAUGUCAACUAGCUGUUGGGGCCUUCAGGCCUUGGUGACGCAACUAACGCGUGAAGUUGACCGCCUGGGAAAUACGGUCGCAAGAUUAAAGCCAAAGGAAUUGACGGGGACCCACUGGCGGAGGUGGAUGAUGUGGAUUAAUUCGAUGCAACACGAAAAACCUUACCUACCACUUGACACAUGUCUGGAAUCCCGAAGAGAUUGGAGUGCUCGCAAGAGAACCGGAACCUGGGUGCUGCCUUGGCUGUCGUCAGCUCGUGUCGUGAGAUGUUGGGUUAAGUCCCGCAACGAGCGCAACCUGCUGUUAGUUGCUACGAAGGGCACUCUAAUGAGACUGCCGGUGACAAACCGGAGGAAGGUGGGGAUGACGUCAAAGUCCUCAUGGCCCUUAUGGGUAGGGCUUCACACGUCAUACAAUGGUCGGGACAGAGGGUCGCCAACCCGCGAGGGGGUAAUCCCAGAAACCCGAUCGUAGUCCGGAUCGCAGUCUGCAACUCGACUGCGUGAAGUCAGGAAUCGCUGUGUCCGCGGAUCAGCAUGUCGCGGUGAAUACGUUCCCGGGUCUUGUACACACCGCCCGUCACACCAUGGGAGUGGGUUUUAUGAAGUAAGUUAGCCUAACCGUAAGGAGGGCGAUUACCACAGUAGGAUUCAUGACGGGGGUGAAGUCGUAACAAGGUAG